CGGGGAGUGGCCCAGCGGAAGGGCGCCUGCUUUGGGAGCAGGAGGUCGCGAGUUCGAUCCUCGCCUCCCCGACCA
rnacentral:tRNA from 1 species